GCCAGGUUUACGUUUUCCGAAUUGGAAAACGGGUUUCUGCACAGGGCGCCAGGGACCGCGGGUUAAAUAUAAAAUCUGCCAGGGUCUCUUAAACAAAAUGGCAGCGAAGAGGUAAGUUCUAAUCUCGGCCGUAGAUGAUUGAUCGGACGGCCCUUGUUCCACCAGGGGGGCCUGGCGGCAGUCCGGCCAUCAGGCACGGUGGCUCCAUUGCCGGCCGGAACAAGCUCGCCGGCGACGACAGGCUUCUCGAUUCCGAGAACCGUUUCGCGAAAGGAAAACACCACGGAGUAGAGGAGCUCACCGCGAGUUCAAGGAGGUGCUCGGUUAGGACCGAAGGGCAAGGAGCGGGGCUCGCGGCGCGCGGCAGUCGUCUCCGACCUCGGCGAGAUCCGACCCGCGCAGACACGGUAACUAGGGCUCGGUUUCGGCGACUUGGAUGCGAAAGGAGAGCUUCGGGGUUGGUUUGAGAGCUUUAUAGGGUCUCGAUUCGCGAUAAGAGCAAGGACAGCGGGCGGUUUCCUAUUCGGUUACGAAACAGGAAGCAGGAAGGUGGAGGAGAGGGAGCUGACGCGCGGGCCCAUGCUGUCAGCGAAAUAGGAGGUGGGGAUUGGGCUGGUUGGCCUCUCGGCCUGCUGCUGGCUGCGGCUUGGAUUCCAGGAGUUUUUUUUCCUUUUUUUUCUUUCUUUUCUGUUUCUUUUUUUUCCAAAGUUUUUUUUUAGAAAGGAUUUUGAGGACAAUUAAAUACAAACCAAAUACAAUCAACAUAAAAUAAAAUAUGUCUCAGCAUGAAUGUACAAAAUCAUGUUACUAAGCUUAUGAUAAAUUUUAAUUUCCACAAAAAUUAUUUAUUUGCUACAUUAAAUGCUCACUAAAAUUCUUAAAUAAUUCAAAUUAAAUCCUAUUAAUUAAAAUUCAAAAUUUUGGGUGUUACAAAAAUGAUUUAAUCUUGAUUUUUUUGUGCUCAUGAGAAUAUAGGAAGAAUAAUAUUUUUCAUUAAAAUAAAAUUUAUCAUAGGAUUAGUAAUAUGGUUGCGCAUUCAUGCUGGAGAAUUUAUUUUAUUGUGCUGAGUGAUUUGACCAAAGUUCAAAUAUAUUUCAAACAUAUUUUAAAUAGUUUUGAAAAUGGCUUGAAGGAAAAGAAUUAAAAAAACAAAAGAAGAAACAACACCUCUCCCUCUCUCAGAUUUCGGCCCAGCCAGCGCCGCGCCCUCCCUCUUUCUCCUUUAGGCCGAAGCCCGUUCCCCUACUUUUUCCCCCGCUGGAGCCCAACUUCUCUUCCCUUCCCCCUCGGCCCAGGACCACGCGAGCGGCCCACUUCCCUUCCCUCCCCUCUCUUUUCUCCCACUGGCGAUCGGGCCCGCUCUCUCUCCCACCUACGGCAGGGACCCACCUGACAGCGCCCCUUCCUUCUUCCUCUCGUGUGUUCGAGCCGGACGCCAUCCGAAUCAACCGCACCUUCCAAUCCCGAACC
rnacentral:lncRNA from 1 species